AGCUCCUCCACUGGGAACUCGGAGCUCUCAGGGAGGAAACUGAGACGCAGCAACCACUACUAAGAUUUUCCCAUGGUGCAAUGCAACUUCCUCAACUUUUCCGGGCCCACAAUUUCCAAAGAAACAGAGGGGGAAGGCGUUGGGUACAAUUUACAGCAAAUCUGGGAAAGUUAAGAGACUGAGAUCCAACCGGCGAGAAGAAAACGGGUCCGGCCACAAAGUGAAAUGGCACGAGUGUUCCUGUAACAGGGUGACAGGAAUCAAAACUUAGGCUUUCUGCCCUUGGCCUAUAGUUCCUAUUGCCGACUGCAGCCUCCGGCUCCCGAAGGGCUAGCCUCCGGUGAGGAGCUUAGAAAAGGGGCUGACUGACAUCCUUCGUGGUGUCCUCCGACCUCCUCCCCGCCGCCGGACCUGGUGGCCUCCGGGCGACUCUGCAGCGGUGGCAACCAGGAGAGGGAAGACAAGGCUUUCAGCGAGGGGUUAUUGUUCCCAGAGAAUUCGGGUCAGGCGUCGGCCCCCUCCCCCGGUGUCACCCGCGCCACACAGGUAGAGCUGUGGCGGAGACCGGAGCCUCCGCCGCCACCUUGGUGAGCUGCAGCGAGUGGGGGUGGCCAGCGGGCAGGAGGGGCCCCUCGGGACUGGCACUCACCCGCGCCCUCUGCGGACGGCGGCGGCCCGACGACGCCGUUCAGGUAGAGAAUGGGCAGCAGCAUCAAUUGUGCAUGUCGUCUUCUGCUGAGGCUCAGAGAGGCCAGUGAUCACGGUCAGGAUGGAGAAGCUGGGAAGUGAUGGGAUCACCCUCCUCAGGGAGCUGUCAAGGUCACCCCUCUAAGCAGCCUCCUUUGUGUAGAAGCAACAGCUGGAAAGCAGAUGCCAGAUGAGCAUGGCCGAUGAAAAGCCUCGGAAUGCUGUGGAACCAGCUGAUACUUCCACACAGCCGGACGCCUCUCACCUCAGCUCAGCAGUCAUAUGAUCCACUUCCUCCUACUCCACGCACACCUGGAGUCUGCUUCCUCCCUUUUUAUUCCAGGGACCAGUUUGGCACCCAGGCAGGAAAUGGGUUUUCUUAUUUCAGGUAGACUUCUCCUGAGGUCUCUAAGCAAGCAGACUUGGGCUGGGAUUUUGUCCCUCCUGAUUGUCCAGAAGAGCAAGCUCAUGGGCCUUUUGGGAAACUGCAAGUUUCAGCUGAGCCCUGUGAUGAGAAUCAAGGGCUCAGAGCAGUCAUGCAUACAGAAAUGAGUGACCAUGGAAGCUUCCCAGCCAGAAAAGGCAACGGGCUCUGUCCUCUGGAUCAUUUGUUUCCUGUGGUCUCAGGGUUUGCAAGCUGCACUCUGCCUCUCUGAGCCUCCUGUGUUCAGGGAGGCAGCUUCUCCCUCCAUGGAAUGAUUUCACCCAACACUGCCCUGCUCUUCACUGCCAGACAGGAGCAAAGGUCUCAAAUCUCAGUGUGGAUCCCAGUGUGAUCCCAGUCUCCACAGCCUUCCAGCGCUGACUCUCAGUCCUCAGAGCCACCCUCUGUCAUAGGUACCGGUAUUAGCCUGUCUGCUGAGCAAAUGGGGAAACUGAGUCACAGAGAAACCAACUAAUGUAGCCAAGAAGAAAGGGGAUUAAAGUUCAGGCCCAUGGUAGAGUGCUUGUCUGGUAUGCUCAAGGUCUCAGCACUGGAAAAAGAAAUCAAACAAAGUGACACAUAGACACACACACACACAUACACACACACACACACACACACACACACACACACACACACCCCUACCUGUGCAAGCCACAACAUCUCUAAACCCCAACUCCAGCUCUUUUCCCUCCUCACUGUACCUUUCUGGAAUGGUUCCAAAGGAAUAUGCAAAUUGACUCUUUGGAGUACUCUGUAGUUCAAAAAUUCAUUUGCAUUUCAGAGGAAUGAGGGUUCCUGCUAAUCUAUUCUUAGUCCAUUUCUGUCUCAAAAACGUGGAAGAUUCCCUGAAAGCUUUAUGGCCACAAGUGAAAUGAGCCAGCAAGAGACAAGAAAGAAACUCUGAUCAGCUUGACUUAGUCAUCCAUAACUGGUUCAAACUCCUAGAGUCCUACACCAGGUAAUUACUUUAGCCAUAUUUAAACACAGCACAAUUUGGGGGACAAAAAAUUCUGAUGACAAUUAACUCAGCUGGUGUGUACAACUAAGUCAUGUUUACAUUGAAACGCUUUACAAAGUACAUAUGGCUUCUUCCAUAAAGAUGGGGACUGUUGACUCAGAAAAAAAUGCUCAAGAUGUAGUCUAGUGAGAAUGACUGAUGUGAACUUAAUGCCUGGCCCUAGGAGAACAUGGAAUGGGUUUAGUGGAUUUAGAAGCAAUGAUCAAGAUUCAAGGUAAAGGGGUAUAGGAUAAAUAAAACAUAAUUUCUGGGGGAUGUGGAUGAAGCCUGUCUCUGCAAGUAGCGAAAGAUCACAAGGUUGUAAAGUACAGCCACGCCCAGCAUUCUGGGAGGAAGACAGUAAACAUCUCUUUUCUUUGAA